rnacentral:sRNA from 1 species
UACAGAUGAAUGGACACCAGGUAAUAGU